AUUGAACGCUGGCGGCAGGCCUAACACAUGCAAGUCGAACGAGUGGCGGACGGGUGAGUAAUGUCUGGGAAACUGCCUGAUGGAGGGGGAUAACGACUGGAAAAGGUAGCUAAUACCGCAUACCAUCAGAUGUGCCCCGAUGGGAUUAGCUUGGUGGUGGGGUAACGGCUCACCAAGGCGACGAUCCCUAGCUGGUCUGAGAGGCUGACCAGCCAAACUGGAACUGGGACACGGUCCUGCCGCCUACGGGAGGCAGCAGUGGGGAAUAUUGCACAGUGGGCGCAUGCCUGAUGCAGCCAUGCCGAGUGUAUGAAGGAGGCCGGCUGGUUUUGGAGUACUUUCAGCGGGGCGGCGUUACCCGCAGAAGAAGCACCGGCUAACUCCGUGCCAGCAGCCGCGGUAAUAC
rnacentral:rRNA from 1 species